rnacentral:siRNA from 1 species
UUCAAAUUUUUCAGAUGAUGA